CCCUGCAGAACCCGUAAGAGUUUCGCGCUAUUGGAAAGCGGCGUUUCCUUCUAGCGAAACGCUGCACCUAAAGCGGCACGGAAACGCAAACGAAAAGCCCUCUCUUCCUUCGCAUCAAGAGGAGAGGACAUCGAUUUUAGGAAUCAAAUUGGGGUGAACUCGGACCUGUUUUUAGAAGGAGAAGGGCAAUAGAAGCAUCGACGUCAUAUGUUGUACGUACUUCCACCAUAGAAGUUGAGACUCCAUGAAAUAGGAAUUCUAAUAGCUGAGACUUGAUUUCAAGUUGCUUAAAAUGCCUAAGAAACUUCUGCUACUGUAUUAUUUGCUGCUGAAACUGGGUUCAAUAUUGCAUAUAUCAAGUGUUAUCCUUAGAAAUUCGUAGACCUUAUAAAGUGAGUUAAAUCAAAUGGGAAUGGCUAUUAAUGUGAUGGGGCAAACAAGCUCAUAGUGGCCGAUAUAGAUAUCCUAUGGAGCUCAUAGACUAUGAUUGUAAUGGUUUCAGGAAAAGUACAUUAAUGCUUGAAGGGCUUUGUAGGAUACAUCAAAGACAUACAAAAGGAGACGCUCAAAAUCACUUUGCGGAACAGUAAUUGUAAUUGAGGAAUUCACAAAGUUUGAUAUGCUUCUCAAAGUCAAGGGGGAGACAAAGAGGAGAAGUUUGAAUUCCAAGUACACAAGAACAAUGAAGGUAUCUUCCGCUUGUCAUGCAGCCGCUUGACAAACUAAUAACAUUUGGUGUUAUCUCCCCUACUCUUUUUGGCCGUUAGAAGGGUCUUUGUCCUUUAAAAAAAAAUGAUUUAAAGUAAUUGAGGGGUCCAUCAGGAUGGUAGUGUUUAUGUGCCACUUGGAUCCUUGUGUCCAUUUCAAAAUGAUGGAACUGCUUUCCAACUGUUGUUUGCUAAUAUAGGUUUUUUGAACUGAGGAAAUAGGGUUCUAAUUGUAAGAACUACUGAAUCUGGCAUUUGAGAUGUAGAAACUAUUAUUCUAAUUGAUGAAACUGAUUCCCAAUUUGCUGAAACUACAUUUGAAUUGCUAAAAUUGGUUCCAACUUUGCCUUUUUCCUGAUCGGAAACUGGCUUUUGAAAUGCUAAAUCGCAGGAAUUGUUGAAAUUGGUUCUCUAAAUUGCGGAAAUAAGAAUUGCAUAAUACCUAAACUGGUUACUCUUAGGCGAAGCAUAAAAUAUAAUGACCCAAAAGA